ensembl:lncRNA
UCUGUUUUCCCGACCUUGAAGGGCAGAGGCCAGGCAGCACCGCAUCGAUCUGUGGUGGAUAGGGCAAGGAAUGGGGCUCAGGAGCUCCUCUGUGCUCUGAGAAAUACGAACGGAGUGCGCUGCGUGGAGCUGUGGUGCGAGCUGGGGCCAUUUGGAGAAACUUUACCGUGGCUGCCCUAAAAACUCCACCAGACACAUUCAAGAAUCCCUCCUCAGAAAAGCAAAUGACUUCCCACAGCCUAAAGUAAGGUGCUGGUUACCUGCUGGCGUUUAUCCCCCUCUGCUUGCAGCUGCCCUGGCUGAGCGCAGCAGGAGAGCCUGGAGUGAUGGGGCAUCACUGCUGGGAUGGGGCUGCUGCACGGCACAGACUGUGGAGUUCUUCCAAGAAUUUUUCAAUUUCCACAGAUGAAAAUAUAGUCUAAACCAGAUGCCAGCUGAAACGCACUCACUUCGUACCACCUCGCCAAGGCAGCGCGCCACGGGCUCAGCAAUGUGACCUUUAAAAUGGCCUUUCUAGAACACACUGCUAAGAGCACUUUCUAAAAAGCCACAAUUGCAGCUACUCUUAUUACUCAUAAUGUCUUUGAUGGAGAGGAAUACUCAGGGAACUUCAGCUUCAGCAACCCGGUAGAGUCAGUUCUGUGCAGCGGAGGCUUCCUUCGUGGCAUUACAGACUUGAGACCACGAUGAGAGCGUUGGUGAUAAUGAACAUUUCCUAAAGCAUUACUUGUAUAAGAUUAAAAUGAAAUAAAAGCAGUGAAACCUUUGCUUUGCCCAUGUGAAAGAAUGGCUCUGCCACUUAGCCAUUCGUUCCUAGAAGUGGAUAUGUAUACCUGUGCCUUCUCCAUGUAUUUGUAAGUCUAACAAAUAUUAUACACACAAAUAUACACCAAUGUUAUGCAAAAUGCAUUCAGGCAAUGUAUUUCAAAUCAAUGAAUAUUUUGAGUCAUCAGCCUAAAUGGUGUUUGUAGAUGCAUAAUUGCAUGCUACUUUCUGGGAUUUUUUGUAGUAUUCUGAGUGGCGCUGAGCCGCCACUUCAUUAAAACUGUCCCUUGGGAUCCAAUUCUUUGGGUUUGUUUUUGCAUGUGCCAGGAAAUUUGGACCCUGAUUUCUGUAUGGCCACCACUGCCAUGCUGGUGCACUGCCGGCCGGCGGCACUGUGUGGCACUGCAUGGCCCUGGUGGGCACAGGGAGCAGAAUAACAUGAGAUCCAGUUUGCUUUGGUCAGUCUGGGAGAGACUUCACAGCAGCAGUGAUGGGACACUUUAGAGUUGGCUGAGUGGAGUUUUCCUAUCAUUUCUGAACCUUCUGUCCUUAAACUGAUUCAACUAAAUAUGUGACAUUUUGAGGAAAACUUGCCCUGUGUCUUUAGCUUCUUUCAUACCAGACAGGGUGGGAACAAGAUAAGUUUGCUUAAAAGCCUUUGUUUUCACUCACUUCUCUACUUGCUUGGUGUCCCAACACACUGGUAUUCAGAUUUGUCACCUCACAGGGCCUUGGUUCUGCCAGAACUCCUGCCUCUGGCUACCAGCAGUGGGAUAUUGAAGGGUUUGAGCUGCUGUCAUCAAGCAGCAACAAACUUACUGCUUUAAUCAGCUCCUUUCCAUGCGAGAUACAACUUGCUGAGCUCCGUGGUUCCUAGAGGUAAUGCCUCAUUUCCAAAAACUCCUGUUUCUGACCAUUGCUGUGGUUUCCCUGGAGUGGGACAGCCAUCCUUGCUCAGUCCCUGCCCCAUCAUUGCCCUGCCCAGCAAUACAGGGCCAGAAGCCCCACUCCCACUUCUCCUUGCACAGCCUUUGGUGGCUCAUGGGACUGCGCUGGCACUGCUGCUCUGUGCCAUGUGGUGACAGGGCUGUUAUUCCAGAGCAACCGGAUGGGGACCACCAAUUUAGUUCUCACAGACCAUGGCUUCUGGCUCUUCGAGAGCAUUGUUUUGACACUGGCAGGAAAAAAUUAGGCCAUUGUCUUUGCUCCCAUGAAAUUUCCUGUCCUCUCUUUAUGAGGUGUGUGGCUGCACAAAGUGCCUUUCUGCUCCCGCAGCAGCGAAUCUUGACACCCACAGCUUGGGCUGGUGUCCCAGGGUGGGUUUUCUUUCCGGGUUGAUUUGGGAUUUUUGCCCACGGAAAAUGAAUGAAUGAACAAAUAAUUUGCAGCUGUCCGAAUGGCCGUAACAUCUCCGCGCUCUGCCCAGAGCUCUGGAAAUGGAUAUCAGAGCUGCUCAGGGCUUUGAUGCAGUCUCUGCACCUGGGCUAUGCUCUGGGUCUGGCAUAUCCCCGUGUGCUGUCACUGCCCUAACACAGUGCAGUCAAGGCUCUGGUAUCCUCUGUUCAAAUAACUCAUCUUCUGCAGUGUGCACACUAUGCAACUCAGCAUUCCCUGUUUGAUAAUGAAGGUCAAACCCAAAAGCAACUGGUCAAUUUUGGUCUCAUCCUUUUUAUUCCUAACAAAGAAGCAGCAGUACCUGCAGGCCCAGAGCGUGGUGUAAGCUGGUGUGAUGCUCUCCUUUGCUGUGUGUAAGGACUGCUGAUGCCAGCAGGUAUCUGGUGCAGAUGAGUGCAUUCACAUGGAAGCCCAUGUGCAGCUCUGCUGUGCCGGGUAAUUGUGGGUCACUUGGUUGGCUCUGUAAGGUCUCACCAUGUAGGAAUAAGCACUCAAAGGAGCGGACAUUUGCCUGCUUUCCAUACUACAGGCAUCAUUAAGGGCUUUGUUUUCUUUUUUAUCAGGCUCUGUAUAGAAUUUUCAAU